rnacentral:pre_miRNA from 10 species
UCGCUGUGACCCUGUUCAAGUAAUCCAGGAUAGGCUGUUUUUGUCUGCUCCGGCCUGUCCAGGAAGACUUGCACUGGGGGGCCGUGACUGCUCUGCAAGGGAUCA